AACAAAAAAAAAAAAAAAAAAAAAAAAAAAAAAAAAGCUCUUCCUCUAAGAACCAAGAAAAUGCAGCAGCCCUUCACUCCUUCACUCCAUUGACGCCACUCUAGCUCCACCUUCAACCAUCUUCUUGGUCCAUUUUGCAUCGUAGUUGUCUGUUUGAAAACCCAAUAAAACCAAGCUAGAAAACUCCAUGAAAAUACUUUUGCCUUGACUCCAAAUGUAGCUGAAAAACAGUCUCAGAAACGCAGCCAUAACAGCACCCGAAAACAAGCAAACACGCUGCUAGUUCGCCUCUCGAAACAGCUACGAAAUCAACAAUAAACCAUCACAAAUUUCAGCUCAAAUCUCACCCCAAAAUUGCAGCAAAACCAGCUGCGAAAACAGACAAGAGGAGCAGCGAAAAUCAGCUGCAAAACAGCAAAAAAUGCUGCCAAAAAUAACCCGAAACAACAGCUCCAAACACUAAAACACAAGAGUUUCAGUCGAGGUUCGAAGCUCCGUGGCGGUCCUGUUCGUUUUUGGGUCUUAAAGUUGUCAAACAACCAAGGUUCAAAUUCAUUUUUUCAAGGUUAGAUUCUUACUCUUGUCUUCUUUCCAAAUUUUGUGUAGUAAAUUUUGAUGAAAUGAAGUUAUAUGGUACAUGAAUGUUUCUGUCCUCUCUAUGAGGCUGUUAAGCUGGAUAUCAGUUCUGCAGUGUGUUUGUUAUGAAUAUCCAUACCUUUUCUUAUUUGAGUAUAAAACAGAGUACUGGAAAUAGUUGUUAAGAUUUCUGCUCGUUGAUGAAUUAAUUCAUUUACUUAAUUUCUGAAAUCCGUCGCGAUUCCUUGCUUAAGGUUGGUUCGAUCGAGUUCUCUUUGGUGUUAAGGCAGUAACUAUGUCCCAAAAUACUCUUUGUCGAUUUGCCAUUUCUAUUGUCGUGUAGUGCCGAAGUCAUGACUCCACUGUAUUAGAAUCUAUAGACAUCUUUGGUGGAAGUUUUUGAGCAGUUUAGUUUGUCUCCUCCCUUUCUGAUUAGCAUACGGACUGAAACGCGUAAAAAUAAUUUGGAACCUCGUUCCUACCAUGCCCGAGAUAAUUAUUGUUACUCUUUAACUAAGAAUAUUAGUAUAAUAUCUGUGAUUAAUGUUGUUUUAAACAUGUGUUCUUCUCUGUUAAAGUUCAAGUGUUAAUAAGCUGGGGCGGACCCACAUGUGUUCUUCGCAAAAAAAUUCAUUAUUUUAUGUGGAAAAUAUUUUCUUAAACAACACAAUAUCGGAUAAGUAUAUUAAGUUGAACCUGUUUGACAGAAACAAUAGUUGGUCGAGUUGGUUUAAGCGGGUUCAGGAAGUAGGUGAGGUGUCGAGUUGGUUCCUGCUCUUUAUUUUUCCAAAAGCAUGUUAUAAUUCAUUUGAACUGUUUUGCUUACCUCCUCAUUGUAGCCCCUCACUGUUUUUUUUUUCUUAAUUAUUAUUUAAUUUAGCUAAUUUUCAUAGUUUCAAAUUCUGAUACUAUUAAAAUUAUAACUCUAUUUUAGUUUAUAUUUUUAUUCUAUUGUUAUUAUUUUUUCAUAAAUUGUUUAUUAUAAUGAAUAUUUCAGCAGUUGUUAAUCUGUUAGAUUUAAUCAAUAAAUAGAGUUGUUGUUUUGGUAUAGAUUGAAUUGAUUUGGUAACGUAAUAUUCAAAAAAAGUUCAAUAAAUUGUUAAAUUUGAAAAAGUAAAUAGAUAUGUUGUUCACUUUUAUUAUUUUCAUUUUUUUAAGAGCUCAAUAGAAAAAUGAGGUCUUGAAUAGAGCCAUCAAUAUGGGCUUGGCUCGUUGGGCCAGCCCAGCCCGUGAUUUAGCAGGGGUGGACUAGAAUUUUUAGAGCCUGUUUAAAAAUGAGGCUUUUAAGCCCGGCCCGAGUAAGCCCGUGGCCCGUGAGGCUUGACUGAGGCUGGGCCGGGCCGGCCCGUGGGCCUAAUAAAAUAUUUAUUUAAAAUAUAUAAAAAAUAAAAAGUAUACUGCCUUAUAGAGAUGGAAAGUCAGAAUUGGAUCUUUACUAAGAGGAACCAAAACUUGAUCUUGAGAAGUUUCAAGAGAUGAUGUUGUCAUAUAUUGGAAGGACCAUUCUAGAAAAUAUCCCAAUCUUUCAAUGAUGGUACGUGAUGUACUUAGCAUUCUUAUUACCAUUGUACCAUCGGAAUCAACAUUUAGCAUUGGUGGCGUGUUCUUACAAAGUACAGAAGUUGCAUUUAUUAUGAAAAUGUCCAAACACUUGUUACUAUUCGAAAUUGGUUGCACAAGUUUUUCCGAACUCAAACUGGUAAUAAUUUUUAUGUGAAAUUAAAUAUUAUUAAUUUUUAAAAUUUAAUUAUUUUUAAUAUUUAACUAAUUAAUAUUGCAUAUGAAUUGUAGAUGAAAGUGAAGAUGUUAAUUAAGACAACCUUGUCACAAGCGGAUUCAAAUGUGUUUGAUGAAGAUGAUGUGUUGGAUAUAUCAUAAGCAUCAUGAACGUUCUCUUGAAUAGGUUGUUUUAAGUUUUGACUUUUAGUGAAUGAAAUAUAGUACCGUCUUUUACUUUUUUUAGUAUUUAUUGUGAUAUAUUGGAACAAUAUAAAAAGUUAUUAAAUUUUGCGAAUUUUUUCCAAUAAGAUAUUUUUUAACUUUUAAAUAAUUAUCUUUUUCUAGGUCAGAACUUAAAGAAAAAAUAUACAAUUAUAUUUUUAAAAAUGAUGGGCCGGCCCGUGGGGGCCCGCAACCCACAUAGGACUGGGGUGGGCUGACCAUUAUAAGGCCCAUCAAAAUGGUGGGCUAGCCUAGCCCAGCCCGUCAAUUGCUAAAGCUCACGUGGGCUGGGCUGGGCUAGCCCGGCCCCACCCAUAUUGACAGCUCUAGUCUUGAAGUAAAAUAAAGAGCAAAAGGAAAGACUGUUGUUAUGCCUUUGUUGCUUUUACUGUCAAAUAAUGACGAUGACUUUACUUUCUGCCUGAACCCACGUGCACAAAAUCCUGGAUCCGCCACUGUUAAUGAGUUGAUUUGUGAGAACAGUAAUUGAGUGAAUGCUUCAUACCUUAAACAAUUUUGUCCCUGUUGGAUAUCUUUCAUAUUGAAACUAAAAUUGUGCAAGCCUUUGAGAGUUCAUCAUGCUUCAGUCUUCUUGCUACUGUAACCAUACACUUCCAUUAUCUAGAUAUGUUAACAUGCUAUUUGAGGUAUUUUGUUGUUCACUGUUUUGCUGAGAUUGUUGUGGUACAUACUGAUGCGAGUUAAGUCGUGCAAUUAAAGUUUUGGAGAAGAACAUCUGAGUGCAAUUGGUAGGAAUUGAAUGUUCAUUAGGUUCUGGGAACACUGAUUAUUGUUUGUGUGCUUCUUUCGUGUAAUUUAUAUUCGGACGAAUUUUUAAUAACUAAAGUGAAUUUGAAUUCUGUUUCCAAUGCCUUACUAAAGGAUAAAGGCUUUAAGGCUUUAGGAUUAAAAAUAUAGUGAUAGAAAAUUAAGUUAACAAAGUCAAGCAGAUUGAUUGAUUGUUCGGAUAUUCUCGUGAACUAAAGGACCAGAGCCAAUAAGCUUUUGAAUUGGAUUGAACGCAUGAAAAUCCUUAAUCAUAUGAGCAAAUCAAAUAAUGACUCCAACUUUUCUUCUACCAUAUCGCACGAUUUUCAUGAAUCUCAAAUGAGUUUAGGAGAACAAUUCAUAAGCAUCGCAGCUUGUUUUAGGUGCAUUAAUUAAAUAAAUUAUCGCAACUAUGGGUACGGUUCCCGUGGCAUAUUCACGAUACAUAAAUCUCAAUUUGGGUGUGCAUUUCAUGUGACCCGACCAUAACUUCAAAUAAUAAUAAAAUAAACAUGCUGUAGAUCGUGGGUACGGUUCCCGUGACACGAUUCGCAAUGUGUACAAAAACAAACAAGUACGUGACAUCGCGACUUGUUCAAACAAAUUCCAUAAAUAUUAAAAGCGGUUAAAAGGAAUGAUAUACACAUAGGUUUUGAAUAUUUAAUAAAUAACAUAAUUAUGCCAAUUAUUAAUAGUUAAGAGACCGUGCUAAAACCAUGGAACCCGAGAGUGCCUCACACCUUCUCUCGGGUUAACAGAAUUCCUUAUCCGGUCUUCUGUGUUCGCAGACCAUAAAUAAGAGUCAAUUUUCUCGAUUUGGGAUCUAAAAUAAACCGGUGACUUAGGACACCAUAAUUAUUCCAAGUGGCGAUACUGAAAUUAAAUAAAUAAUCCUAUUUCAAUUAUUGUCACUUUAAUUGGAAAAACUCUCUACCCCUCGAAAAAAAGGAGGUGUGACAUAUUAUGGUGAGGAUGAGAGUAAAAACAGGAAGGGUGAUGUCGUGCACUUGUUUUUGCCAUGUUUAAUAUUUCCAUUGGUGCAAAGCAUGUUGUUUGUUGUGUCUCUUUACUGUUACCAUUUUCAUGAUCUUGUACUCCCCUCAGCAUAUUUCCCCCCUCCCAUUAUUAUCUGUUUAGCUGCUAUUAGUUGUUAUUGCUUGUAUAUUGUCUAACUGCACUGGUUUAUGUUGUUGUCUUGUCCUAGCCUCGUCACUACUUCGCUGGGGUUAGGCUCGAAACUUACCAAUACAAGGGGUCGAUUGUACUGAUACUGCACUCUGCACUUUCUGUGCAGAUUUCGGUAUUGGUCCGAGCUGAUCUUGUGUUUAGCUGCUGGCUUCAUCUGAUCGAAGACCCAAGGUAGACUUGUUGGCGUCCGCAAGCCCUGACGUCCCCUUCCAUACAUUCACUUUACUGUUUCUUUUGUAUCGAAAACAGUCAUAUUUCCUUCAGAAAUUUGUUGUAGUUAAAUAUUAGAGUUCGUGGAUUGUUACUCCAGAUUCUGGGUAGCUUUAUAUAUUGAGA
rnacentral:lncRNA from 1 species